rnacentral:piRNA from 1 species
UAAGACUUCUUCCAGCACAGAAUGCCUUCCC